AUUGAACGCUGGUGGCAGGCCUAACACAUGCAAGUCGAGCGGAGCGGCGGACGGGUGAGUGAUACCUAGGAAUCUGCCUGGUAGUGGGGGAUAACGUUCGGGAACGGACGCUAAUACCGCAUACUAUCAGAUGAGCCUAGGUCGGAUUCGCUAGGUGGUGAGUUAAUGGUUUACCAAGGCUACGAUGCGUAACUGGUCUGAGAGGAUGAUCAGUCAAACGGGAACUGAGGCACGGUACAGACUCCGAAGGGAGGCAGCAGUGGGGAAUAUUGGGCAAUGGGUGAAAGCCGGAUCCAGCCAUGCCGCGGGUGUUAAGAAGGGCUUCGGAGGGUAAAGCACUUUAAGUUAGGAGGCGUUACCGACAGAAUAAGCACCGGCUAACUCGGUGCCAGCGGCCGCGGUAAGAC
rnacentral:rRNA from 1 species